GACAGAGGGGGCAAGCGUUGCUCGGAAUCACUGGGCGUAAAGGGCGCGUAGGCGGGAUGGCAAGUCGGUCGUGAAAUCCUUCGGCUCAACCGAAGAACGUCGGCCGAUACUGCCGUUCUUGAGGGAUGCAGAGGAGAUUGGAAUUCCCGGUGUAGCGGUGAAAUGUGUAGAGAUCGGGAAGAACAUCGGUGGCGAAGGCGGCUUUCUGGACAGUAACUGACGCUGAGGCGCGAAAGCUAGGGGAGCAAACAGG
rnacentral:rRNA from 1 species